rnacentral:lncRNA from 1 species
GCCCGUCCCCGAGAAGCCCCCGCUGGGCGGCUGGACCCCUGGGUUCUCCUCCGGCCGCGCUCGCGCUCGCGACCUUGAGCUGGUCUAACCCUCUGGCGCCUGAGCUUCCCGGGCUGUAAAACCCUCGAGGAAGGAGAAUCUCCAAGCUGCGUGAUAAAGUGAGACCCUGCCUAGAAGGAGAAGAAGAAUGAGAAGGAGAAGGAGAAGAAGAAGAAGACAGAAAGAAAGGGAGAAAAAGAAAUAAAGAAAGAAAGAAGGAAAAGAAAAGACAUAGAAAGGUUUUGGAUUCAGUUUACAAGUAUCCAUUGUGCCCUGCAGUGACAUGGGAACUGACUUGCAUUAGAUGACCCCCUCCCAGGUACACGUGGCCCCAGUGCUACCUCCUAGCCCUCCAGGGCCUCAGAUCUUCACAUCUGUGUCUGGGUCUGGCUUUGCUCCCAAACUAGACAAUAUGGGCAGAAAAUGAGCUGCAAUACUGGUGGGUUAAUUCAUU